rnacentral:rRNA from 1 species
GUGGUAAUGCCGGAUGCUCCAGUUGAUCGCAUGGUCUUCUGGGAAAGCUUUCGCGGUAUGGGAUGGGGUCGCGUCCUAUCAGCUUGACGGCGGGGUAACGGCCCACCGUGGCUUCGACGGGUAGCCGGCCUGAGAGGGCGAUCGGCCACAUUGGGACUGAGAUACGGCCCAGACUCCUACGGGAGGCAGCAGUGGGGAAUAUUGCACAAUGGGCGCAAGCCUGAUGCAGCGACGCCGCGUGAGGGAUGGAGGCCUUCGGGUUGUAAACCUCUUUUAUUGGGGAGCAAGCGAGAGUGAGUUUACCCGUUGAAUAAGCACCGGCUAACUACGUGCCAGCAGCCGCGGUAAUACGUAGGGUGCAAGCGUUAUCCGGAAUUAUUGGGCGUAAAGGGCUCGUAGGCGGUUCGUCGCGUCCGGUGUGAAAGUCCAUCGCUUAACGGUGGAUCCGCGCCGGGUACGGGCGGGCUUGAGUGCGGUAGGGGAGACUGGAAUUCCCGGUGUAACGGUGGAAUGUGUAGAUAUCGGAAAAAAACACCA